AAUGAACGCUGGCGGCAGGCCUAAAACAUGCAAGUCGAACGCCCUAGCAAUAGGGAGUGGCGCACGGGUGAGUAACAUGUGGGAAUAUGCCUUUUGGUACGGAACAACGUUUGGAAACGAACGCUAAUACCGUAUGGUCCCUCCGGGGUAAAGAUUUAUCGCCAAAAGAUUAGCCCGCACUAGAUUAGCUAGUUGGUAAGGUAAUGGCUUACCAAGGCGACGAUCUAUAGCUGUUCUGAGAGGAAGAUCAGCCACACUGGGACUGAGACACGGCCCAGACUCCUACGGGAGGCAGCAGUUAGGAAUAUUGGACAAUGGGCGCAAGCCUGAUCCAGCCAUGCCGCGUGAGUGAUGAAGGCCUUCGGGUUGUAAAGCUCUUUAGCCGACGAAUAUAAUGACUGUAGUCGCAGAAUAAGCACCGGCUAACUCUGUGCCAGCCGCCGCAGUAAUAC
rnacentral:rRNA from 1 species